rnacentral:rRNA from 1 species
GAUGAACGCUGGCGGCGUGCCUAAUACAUGCAAGUCGAGCGAACGGACGAGAAGCUUGCUUCUCUGAUGUUAGCGGCGGACGGGUGAGUAACACGUGGAUAACCUACCUAUAAGACUGGGAUAACUUCGGGAAACCGUAGCUAAUACCGGAUAAUAUUUUGAACCGCAUGGUUCAACAGUGAAAGACGGUCUUGCUGUCACUUAUAGAUGGAUCCGCGCUGCAUUAGCUAGUUGGUAAGGUAACGGCAUACCAAGGCAACGAUGCAUAGCCGACCUGAGAGGGUGAUCAGCCACACUGGAACUGAGACACGGUCCAGACUCCUACGGGAGGCAGCAGUAGGGAAUCUUCCGCAAUGGGCGAAAGCCUGACGGAGCAACGCCGCGUGAGUGAUGAAGGUCUUCGGAUCGUAAAACUCUGUUAUUAGGGAAGAACAUAUGUGUAAGUAAAUGUGCACAUCUUGACGUUACCUAAUCAGAAAGCCACGGCUAACUACGUG